rnacentral:tRNA from 1 species
GCUGAGGUUUCCGAGCCUGGUACGGAGCCAGCCUGCUAAGUUGGUGUGCCUAGCACGCGCGAGUUCGAAUCUCGCCCUCAGCGCCA